AUCGCUUCUCAGCCUUUUGGCUAAGAUCAAGUGUAAAAAUCCGUGUACAUACAGAUACACACACACACAUAUAUAUACACACACAUAUGUAUGUGUAUGUGUAUAUAUAUGUAUAUAUAUAUAUAUAAUCCUU
rfam:Canis lupus familiaris chromosome 17, whole genome shotgun sequence.